GACGAACGCUGGCGGCGUGCUUAACACAUGCAAGUCGAACGGAAAGGCCCUGCUUUUGUGGGGUGCUCGAGUGGCGAACGGGUGAGUAACACGUGAGUAACCUGCCCUUGACUUUGGGAUAACUUCAGGAAACUGGGGCUAAUACCGGAUAGGAGCUCCUGCUGCAUGGUGGGGGUUGGAAAGUUUCGGCGGUUGGGGAUGGACUCGCGGCUUAUCAGCUUGUUGGUGGGGUAGUGGCUUACCAAGGCUUUGACGGGUAGCCGGCCUGAGAGGGUGACCGGCCACAUUGGGACUGGGAUACGGCCCAGACUCCUACGGGAGGCAGCAGUGGGGAAUAGUGCACAAUGGGCGGAAGCCUGAUGCAGCAACGCCGCGUGGGGGAUGACGGCCUUCGGGUUGUAAACCGCUUUCGCCUGUGACGAAGCGUGAGUGACGGUAAUGGGUAAAGAAGCACCGGCUAACUACGUG
rnacentral:rRNA from 1 species